UGGUGGGGUAAUGGCCUACCAAGGCUUUGACGGGUAGCCGGCCUGAGAGGGUGACCGGCCACACUGGGACUGAGACACGGCCCAGACUCCUACGGGAGGCAGCAGUGGGGAAUAUUGGACAAUGGGCGGAAGCCUGAUCCAGCAACGCCGCGUGAGGGAUGACGGCCUUCGGGUUGUAAACCUCUUUCAGCACAGACGAAGCGGGUGGUGACGGUAUGUGCAGAAGAAGCACCGGCCAACUACGUGCCAGCAGCCGCGGUAAUACGUAGGGUGCGAGCGUUGUCCGGAAUUAUUGGGCGUAAAGGGCUCGUAGGCGGUUUGUCGCGUCGGGAGUGAAAUCCACUGGCUUAACUGGUGGCUUGCUUUCGAUACGGGCAGACUGGAGGUAUGCAGGGGAGAACGGAAUUCCUGGUGUAGCGGUGAAAUGCGCAGAUAUCAGGAGGAACACCGGUGGCGAAGGCGGUUCUCUGGGCAUGUCCUGACGCUGAGGAGCGAAAGUGUGGGGAGCGAACAGGAUUAGAUACCCUGGUAGUCCACACCGUAAACGUUGGGCGCUAGGUGUGGGAUCCAUU
rnacentral:rRNA from 1 species